rnacentral:rRNA from 1 species
AUUCCACGCUGGCGGCAGGCUUUACACAUGCAAGUCGAGUGAGCGGCUGACGGGUGAGCAAUGUCUGGGAAACUGAUUGCUGGACGGGGAUAACUACUGGAAACGGUAGCUAAUACCGCAUACCAUGCGAUGUGCCCAGAUGGGAGUCGCUAGUAGGUGGGGUAAUGGCUCACCUGGGCGUCGUACCCUAGCUGUUCUGAGAGGAUGACCAGCCAGCCGAGAACGGAGUCACGGUCCAUACUCCUACGGGAGGCAGCAGUGGGGAAUAUUGCGCAAUGGGCGCAAGCCUGAUGCAGCCAUGCCGGGUGUGUGAAGAAGGCCUUCGGGGUGUAAAGCACUUGCAGCGAGGAGGCGUUACUCGCAGAAGAAGCACCGGCUAACUCCGUGCCAGCAGCCGCGGUAAUAC